GGAAACAACGAGUCUUCGUGUUAUUCCGUAACCAUCGUUGUUUGUUAUCACGUUGAAUUCGGAACUAGUUCAAGUCUAACAGAAGGUGCAGCGAAUGUAGCCAUGGCUCGCGACUUUGAGCGGAAAGUUAACUGCACGUGAGUCCGCAGUGCAGACUGCAGUGUCUUUACGUCUCUGUUUCCCGAACGUUCACCUUCUAACGAAUAGCAAACAAAAAGCUGCGUUCCAACCUGACCGAGCGGAAUGGAGGGUAAAAUAACAAAGACGAAGCAGCCAGAUUCUCCAUUUUUAAUGCGUCGAAAUUAUCAAGAUGAUAUUCAAACAGAUAUGUUAUAGAGCAGAAAAAUUGAUGGAAAGUGAGGUUAAUGCGGCAAGAUACCGUGCAUAAAGGAUCAAAGCUUUAAACUUAUCGAAGACAUCUGCAUCCUGCGGACUAAUGCGAAAUAGAGCAUGGAACAUUUGAUCGUUUUAUAAAUUUAGAAGUGCGUACAAGAAACAAAAGAAGCUAUUAUGGGAACUCUUAUAUUGGCAUCGGGCGAUUGUCUUGAAUUAUGUUGGAUAGAGACAAGUAUAAUGACACGGUUGGAAACCAAUCAAUUUCAUGAAAGGAUGAAAAGAAUAGGGUAUUAACCGUAUUAUUUAACUUUCUAUGGCACGUGCCAUAGUCAACAGCAACGUCGGACACAUUGAGACACGUUGAGACACGUUGAGACACGUCGAGACCCAUCGAGCCAUUUCGUGCGAACGCGGCGAAGAAUAACAUGCAACUGAAACAGGAAAACAUCCGAAAAUUAACCACAAACCUGACCCAUGAUGUCUACAUUCGGUCCUAUCUUUGAUCAUCCAUGACUCUCGCCCGCGAUACCUGUGUUUGAUCUGAUCUCCUAAUCCUGAGUCUCACACGAUAAAGUAAGUGGAGUUAAAAAUUAGGUGAAUUUUAAACGUAAUAAUGUUACAAACUGCGUCCCUAAUAAUAUUAUUUCUGUUCUGUAAGAAAGUCCACAAAAUCACUCUAUUUUAAAAGAUAAAACUUAUAGCACAUCUGUAUACACACUGUGUGCCUAAGUAACAGGAAAUAUCUUUCAUAUCAACUACGUUACAAUGAAUCCUCCACGUAUGAACGAAUAAAAUAACAGAAUAAAACGAAUAUCUUCGUGAAAGUUCUAAAUGGCAUUCGAAAUCGUGAGCAAGAGGAGAGGACAAUGUGCGUGGAGACGAAUAAACCGUGCAACAAGAGGCGACCAAUGUUGCAUCUGGACAAAGUGCUUUUAAUUGCAGACUUACGACAGUUAGCACUCGUUUUCUAUGCGGUAAGCAGAGCCUAUACCCACUGGGGCGUAAGAAAACUCGAGCGGCUGUAUUUUAAAACGUAGCAGCCUUAGGGCGUGUUCUAAUUACGCUGUACCGCUUGAUAAAAAGAGUGGCUGCAACACAUGUAAUUCACGGAAAAGAGGUGUCCCGUCGUAAUUAAGUGCCACGACCUGUUUGUCGCCAGGUUCCUUGCCCCAAAAUAAAUCUCUUGUAAUCGAGGGCCAGAAGCGAUACUCUGGGAAAACAAAAGGGGCAAAUCUCCUCCGUGUGAGACGUGAAAGACCAAAAUAUUCGAGGAUCAAUGAUACGGUUUCAAUACCGGGCAAUUGUAAACGACUCUCGAUUCUCGAAAGGGAAAUACUGCGAACACAAAGCAUUGA